CAGCUGCUGAGAGUCUGGUACAUCCGAAACAAUUUAUUGGCACGGACCACAGAAAACCACGCUAACACAGUGUACGAAGUACCAUGCAGAGAGGACAACAUUUUACACCACGUAAACCAACACAUUUGCCCGCAUUUUCCAGCAAGUGAAGUGUAAGCGAGAAAUUUGUGAAUAAAAUUAUAAUAAUAAAAAAAACAUUUCAUUUUAUGUCCUUUUUAAUUGAUGACAACUUUCCACUAUGCAUAGCCAAUAACGCACCCAUACCUA